rnacentral:rRNA from 1 species
GGUUAAAAAGCUCGUAGUUGGAUGUCUGUUGAGGAUGACCGGUCCGCUCUUUGAGUCGACGUAUCUGGUAUCAGCCUUGAGCAUCCUGCUUGGGGAACGCUGAUCUGUGCUUGAUUGCAUGGGGCGGUAUUCAAGACUUUUACUUUGAGGAAAUUAGAGUGUUCACUGCAAGCGUUAGCAAUUGAAUACAUUACCAUGGAAUAAUAAUAUAGGACCUUGGUACUAUCUUGUGUUGGCUUCUAGAACUAAGGUAAUGAUUAAUAGGGACAAUUGGGGGCAUUCGUAUUAACGCGUCAGAGGUGGAAUUCUUAGAUUGCGUUACGACGAACUACUGCGAAAGCAUUUGCCAAGGAUGUUUUCAUUGAUCAAGAACGAAAGUAUGGGGAUCGAAGACGCUUAGAUACCGUCGUAGUCUAUACCAUAAACUAUGCCAACUAGAGAUUGGAGGUCGUUCUCUUUAUGACUCCUUCAGCACCUUAUGAGAAAUCAAAGUCUUUGGGUUCCGGGGGGAGUAUGGUCGCAAGGCUGAAACUUAAAGGAAUUGACGGAAGGGCACCACCAGGAGUGGAACCUGCGGCUUAAUUUGACUC